AGGAGUUUCACUUUUUUCCUCAACAGGAGCAGCGGUCUCAUCAGCUGGUGAGGUUUCAGUAUCCUUCUGAGGAACAACUUCGGCCACAGUGCUCGUAGUAGAUUUCUCCUCAGCUGGUUUUUCCACAGGGACCUCCUUGGGUGGAAGUGAAUAUUCCUGCGCAAGGGCGGAUUUCAAGUUCUCAAAACUGGGUCUGGAGCAUGAAAUAUCAAUUUCAGUAUGAACAACUAGCGACAGAGAAGUCAGCUUUGAUCAUGAAAUGAGCACACAGAAAUACAGAAAUUAAAAAUAAUGCUAGGGAUCCAAUCCGCAGGCUAACAAUCUUGUAUACGGCUUCAAAUCUAAGCAAGCAGAUGAUCGGCAUGAGUUCAUACAUCAUAUCAACUGGUGCUGGAGCAAGGAACAGAUGCAAGCACCUCCAGCCUUACAAGUACAGCUCAUGUUCUCAGUUGCAACGGUUCGCGGGUUAUGCAUUUUUAUUCAGGGACGAAAAGGUUCAACUAUAAUCUCAACCACCACCUCCAUAGGAGGGAAGAUGAAGAUCACAUCGUCAGGUUUACUAGUAAUUACAGAAAUAAUGUCACACUAGCAAAUCAUAUACAAUACACAAAAAUACAAAAGCCUAACAUCAAGCCAACUCAGUCAACUACAAAUUGCUGUGAUGCCAAAAAAGGCACUGUUCUCUUCUGAACCUACGAAACUCUGCAAAACUCUAUGGAGCUGUGCCUUCGUGCACACCAAAGUUGCGCAGACAAACAACAAAAUCUGAAGGCACAGAACCCGGAUGUGGUUAUUUGGGCAGCAGCGAACAUCAAUAACAGCCCAAUCAGCUCGAAUCGCGAACACAAAAGCCACUGGCACUUGACCCCUAAACCUACUAGUGCGAUUCUAGUACCAUCUCUCGGCCUAAAUCCGGCGAGGGGAUGGUAAAAAUAUCCGGAUCUGGCCGUGCCACGGCACCGAUCCCCGGGAGCGGCCGCGUAAUCACAUGGGGAAAACCCUAAACGAAUAAGAGGGCAGGCUGCUGGCGCAUGGAGGUGUGGUUUCCCUUACCUCGGCCAGCGUCGGGACCUUGCCUUCCGCCGCCAUGGUCGCGCCGCGGGAGAUCUGGAGUCACGCGCGGCGGCUGCGAGAGUGGGAGAGAGAG
rnacentral:lncRNA from 1 species